rnacentral:rRNA from 1 species
GGUGGGAGGCUUUGAAGUGUGGACGCCAGUCUGCAUGGAGCCGACCUUGAAAUACCACCCUUUAAUGUUUGAUGUUCUAACGUGGACCCGUAAUCCGGGUUGCGGACAGUGUCUGGUGGGUAGUUUGACUGGGGCGGUCUCCUCCUAAAGAGUAACGGAGGAGCACGAAGGUUGGCUAAUCCUGGUCGGACAUCAGGAGGUUAGUGCAAUGGCAUAAGCCAGCUUGACUGCGAGCGUGACGGCGCGAGCAGGUGCGAAAGCAGGUCAUAGUGAUCCGGUGGUUCUGAAUGGAAGGGCCAUCGCUCAACGGAUAAAAGGUACUCCGGGGAUAACAGGCUGAUACCGCCCAAGAGUUCAUAUCGACGGCGGUGUUUGGCACCUCGAUGUCGGCUCAUCACAUCCUGGGGCUGAAGUAGGUCCCAAGGGUAUGGCUGUUCGCCAUUUAAAGUGGUACGCGAGCUGGGUUUAGAACGUCGUGAGACAGUUCGGUCCCUAUCUGCCGUGGGCGCUGGAGAACUGAGGGGGGCUGCUCCUAGUACGAGAGGACCGGAGUGGACGCAUCACUGGUGUUCGGGUUGUCAUGCCAAUGGCACUGCCCGGUAGCUAAAUGCGGAAGAGAUAAGUGCUGAAAGCAUCUAAGCACGAAACUUGCCCCGA